CCUACGAGAGGCAGCAGUGAGGAAUAUUGGUCAAUGGGCGGAAGCCUGAACCAGCCAAGUAGCGUGCAGGAUGACGGCCCUACGGGUUGUAAACUGCUUUUAUACGUGAAUAACGCGCCUUACGUGUAGGGCUUUGCAUGUACCGUAUGAAUAAGGACCGGCUAAUUCCGUGCCAGCAGCCGCGGUAAUACGGAAGGUCCGGGCGUUAGCCGGAUUUAUAGGGGUUAAAGGGAGCGUAGGCGGCAUGUCCAGCGUGCUGUGAAAUGUCCGGGCUCAACCCGGGCCUUGCAGCGCGAACUGGCGUGCUUGAGUCCGCGGAAAGCAGGCGGAAUUCGUCGUGUAGCGGUGAAAUGCUUAGAUAUGACGAAGAACCCCGAUUGCGAAGGCAGCUUGCUGCAGCGGAACUGACGCUGAUGCUCGAAAGCGCGGGUAUCGAACAGGAUUAGAUACCCGAGUAGUC
rnacentral:rRNA from 1 species